AUACGUAGGGAGCGAGCGUUGUCCGGAAUUACUGGGUGUAAAGGGCGUGUAGGCGGAGAUGCAAGUCAGGAGUGAAAUCUAGGGGCUCAACCCCUAAACUGCUUUUGAAACUGUAUCCCUUGAGUAUCGGAGAGGCAGGCGGAAUUCCUAGUGUAGCGGUGAAAUGCGUAGAUAUUAGGAGGAACACCAGUGGCGAAGGCGGCCUGCUGGACGACAACUGACGCUGAGGCGCGAAAGCGUGGGGAGCAAACAGGAUUAGAUACCCUGGUAGUCCACGCUGUAAACGAUGAAUACUAGGUGUGGGGGGACUGACCCCCUCCGUGCCGCAGUUAACACAAUAAGUAUUCCACCUGGGGAGUACGAUCGCAAGAUUGAAACUCAAAUGAAUUGGCGGGG
rnacentral:rRNA from 1 species